rnacentral:lncRNA from 1 species
AUAUAUAUAUAUAUAUAUAUAUAUAUAUAUAUAUAUAUAUAUCAUCAUCAUCAUCAUGAUCAGGGUUGGGCUCCAUCAACGUAGGAAUGUCCAACUCCAGGACUUGGGCCACUAUUCUUAAUAGUACCCCAGAGAGCAAGAAGUUUGUCAUAGUACUCUGCAACAUUCUCCUUAACAUUAACAUGAACAUGAACGUCCCUUCCCAAUUGAGUAGUAGGAGGAGGAUAUCUUAUCAAAGGCCGGGCUUCCAUGCAAGUAAAUAGCAAACUGAAGAUCAAUAACACAACUACAAUCAUGAGCAUAUUGUUGGACUCGGACUUUCUGCAGCCCAUUACCGAUCGAUCCAUUUAAUAAUUAUAUAUACUAUUUUUUUGAAGUUAUAAGAGCAAGAGAGAGAUAGAAGUUUAUAGAUAUGAUGAAGAUGGUGGUACUAGUAACUAG